rnacentral:rRNA from 1 species
GAUGAACGCUGGCGGCGUGCCUAAUACAUGCAAGUCGAGCGAACAGACAAGGAGCUUGCUCCUUUGACGUUAGCGGCGGACGGGUGAGUAACACGUGGAUAACCUACCUAUAAGACUGGGAUAACUUCGGGAAACCGGAGCUAAUACCGGAUAAUAUAUUGAACCGCAUGGUUCAAUAGUGAAAGACGGCUUUGCUGUCACUUAUAGAUGGAUCCGCGCCGUAUUAGCUAGUUGGUAAGGUAACGGCUUACCAAGGCAACGAUACGUAGCCGACCUGAGAGGGUGAUCGGCCACACUGGAACUGAGACACGGUCCAGACUCCUACGGGAGGCAGCAGUAGGGAAUCUUCCGCAAUGGGCGAAAGCCUGACGGAGCAACGCCGCGUGAGUGAUGAAGGUCUUCGGAUCGUAAAACUCUGUUAUCAGGGAAGAACAAAUGUGUAAGUAACUGUGCACAUCUUGACGGUACCUUAUCAGAAAGCCACGGCUAACUACGUG